rnacentral:ncRNA from 1 species
CUGAGCAGGCAGCGGAAAUUUGGCAUGCCGGGUCGCAGAAUGCGGCAGCAGAUGAAAAUAAACAUCUGCGGGACAGU